GGUGUCUCGGCGCCGCCCGCGUGCGGGGGGUGUUUGUGCGCGCUCCGCACCGCGCUCCCGGUUGCUGCCAUAUACCCGCCGCCGCCCCGGCGGCUCCGCGCAGCGCCCGCGCAGCAGGGAGGCAUCUUCAUGGGCUGCCACCAUGCUGGGGCCCUGGGGAUUUCGGGCGAAGAUGAAGAGUACUGACAGCCAUCGCUGCUUAUAAUCAGUAACUCUGAUGCUUGGAGUGUUGGCGAUGAGACAUUUCCAUGAGACCUAUUUAGAUCUCUCCACUUCUACCAGGCUAGUUUUGCAGAACGUUGGGAAUAAGCGCUAUGUCAGAUAUGGCUGAGACUCCGAAGAUGAUCUGCAUGUUUUACAUUUUUCAUAAAUUUUGGG